AUUGAACGCUGGCGGCACGCUUAACACAUGCAAGUCGAACGGCAGCGGCGGGGGAGCUUGCUUCCCUGGCGGCGAGUGGCGGACGGGUGAGUAACGCGUAGGUAUCUGCCCUAAAGCGGGGGACAACCCGAGGAAACUCGGGCUAAUACCGCAUAAUCUCUUCGGAGUAAAGGCUGCGUAAGCAGUCGCUUUAGGAUGAGCCUGCGUUGGAUUAGCUUGUUGGUGGGGUAAUGGCCUACCAAGGCAAUGAUCCAUAGCUGGUCUGAGAGGACGAUCAGCCACACUGGGACUGAGACACGGCCCAG
rnacentral:rRNA from 1 species